rnacentral:lncRNA from 1 species
UGCCCUGCCGCCGCGCCUGCCGCAGGGGCGGGGGGACAGGCCGGCGACAGGAGGCGGGGCGCGCACGGACGAGGUGCCCGGGGCGGAGGUGGGGGCCGAGGGCCAGAGCGCGGGGCAGCCGGCGGGGCAGGGCUGCAGGGACAGUAGGGGAGGCUCGGGGUAGAGUCUGGAGGAGAGUUGCAGAGACACUCAAGUCCAGGGGGAAGGAGAAGUCGGCGCCGGCCUUAGGAAAGGCUGAGAAACGGGAACGGAGAGACCGGGAGCGGGGGACGGGAGGGCUGAGAAAACGGGAGGAGAACAAGUGGAGAAGGACACAGAGACGAGGAGCCAGAGCCUUCACGGGAGGCAGACGGAAGUGCACAAGCAGUAUUUCAGACCAUGAGGAAACCUUAGGAAUGAAAGCUGCCUGCUGCAGAGCAAGCAGACCGAGAGCGCCUGGGCUCCCGGCACCGUGGAACACUGCCACCCGG